AACACCACGAUGCAGGGGCAGUGCACAUUUCAGUCUGAUGACAACAUUCUCCUGAUUUCACAACACAGGAGGGCUUCGUGGCAUAAAGAGUGAACUCAAAAUGCCUCAACACAGCUUUCAAGACCUGUUGAAAGAUCUUGAAAAGGCAGCUGUUUCUCAAACUAUGGGUUUGUGUGCCCCCUGCGUCAGAAUCACUGAGCUGUUUGAAAAAAAGGUAAAUCCUGUCCUUUGGGCCAGAAAGGCUGAAUCCGGACCUCAGAAGAUAGAACCCUGAAGAUGCCUUUUUAUGAAGUAUUCCAGGUAAUUCUGAUGCCACUAAAAUCUGAGAACCUGUGUUCUGGGAACACUAAGUAUUAGGCUAAAUUCUGAAAGCUCCGCUCUGUUGAUCACCUCUAUUAUGAAUUCAUUUGGGACAAGAUCGGUGGGUUCAUCUUGGUUUUGCCGUGCGCCCAGGUGUUCUGCACUGUGCUUUCAGACAUUGCCAGAGGAGAUGGAAAUCUGCACGAUGGGCAGGAGCAGACAGGUGGGAGGCUCGUCACGACCAAGGACCUGGAGGUGGGAACGGGCUCUGCUCUGCGUGGCCUGGCCAGCCCCCUACAGUUUGACGCCAUCUUUCCAUUCUUGCAGUAAGAGAGCAACGAGCAGGGAAGCCCUUUUCUUCAUUAGUGCCAUGCUAGGACAAUAAGGGGGGACAUCCUCUGUCUUAUUCAAUGUGUUGUCCUCUGGACAAUGCUUUCGAUUAUAGUGAAACCUAAAGAAAUCAACAACUUUUGUUCGAUCUGUGCUUCUUGUUUUACAGUUUCGGUAUAUUCUCCCCAAACCACUUCUGCUCCUGUUCCCCAGGGACUUUAUUCCAUUUUCCAUUUUAACACCAUUCUCGUUUUCAAAAUCACUCAUGCAGCACACAGAAAUAGAAAUGUAGGCUACCUGAGUCAGCCUGAAAGAGUAACUAUCCGGUCCCUCCCCAUCUGUAAGUGACCCCUGCGACACUACGCUUUGCACACACGUCCCUUUCAGCCCCUCUUGCAUGUGUCACAGCUAUCGGUUCACAGGUCUGUCCACACAGACCCCUUAAGAAAAAGCGGCAUGUCCUUUUCAAGGCUGCAUCCUUAGAGCAGUGGCCCAUAGUAAAUGCUUAGGAAAUGUUUUCUGAAUGAGCGUGCAAGGGAACUUCCUUGUAGCUUCUCCUUUACCCUUUCUGAGGCCCCAGACAGCUUUACCGAAAUAACUGCUUUGGCAUAAUUUUUCUAAACAUUUCUUCUGACAUUUCUUUUAG
rnacentral:lncRNA from 1 species